GCCUUAGUGGUGUAGUGGUAGUAGCACGCGUCACCGGUGUGGAUGAAACGAGGGUUCAAUUCCCGGCUGAGGCC